AUCGUCAGACCAUUCUGAAGAGGAGGAGUUGGCACAGUUAUUUCUCCUCUCUGGGCCUCAAUCUCCCUGCUGGCAAAAUGGGGAUCCUCGUCCCAGCUCCACUCACUCCAUAGGGUUCGUUUGAGGCUCAUGGAACCAAAGGAUCUAAAGAAGUCUGGCCAGAGGGACACUGAGAUGAGCAAUGUGGUUGGAGGAGAGGAUACUGACCCAAGAAUUCUCUGGAUAAGAAGAAGGAGGAGGGGAAGCCUGAAGUGGAUGGGUCGAGCCUCAGCCGUGGAAGAAUUGCUAAUUACAGCCACCCUAAGGAAAUAUCAAUGAUGGACGUCAAUAUUAUUGCCUCCUGCAUCCCUGCCUGUUUAUUUGGAGAUGAAAAGCGCCCUAGGGUCGUCUCUCCAGGACGAAGAUGAGUGAUGACAGAAGGGAGGAGAGCUGCACAUGGAGAAAAGGGCAUCCUCCAGCUGGAUUCAUUCAUGAAAUCAGGACCCAUUUCCUCUGGGCAGAGUCCUCUCCACUGAGGGCCCAGGGUUGGGGCUGAGGGCAAAGGAACCUGCACAGGCAGGAGGAACUAGUGAUCCUGCUCCCAGCCCUGGUUCAUCAAGUGACUGCAUGUAUUCCUCUUUGUGCCUCAGUUAACUCAUCUGAUAAAUGGGUAUGAUAAUUCCA
rnacentral:antisense_RNA from 1 species